rnacentral:rRNA from 1 species
UACGUAGGGUGCAAGCAUUAAUCGGAAUUAUUGGGCGUAUAGGGCGCGUAGGCUGACUUUCAAGUCGGAUGUGAAAUCCCCGGGCUCAACCCGGGAACUGCAUCCGAAACUGAAAGACUAGAGGGUAGGCGGAGAAAACGGAAUUCCACAAGUAGCGGUGAAAUGCGUAGAUAUGUGGAAGAACACCGGUGGCGAAAGCGGUUUUCUAGCUUAUACCUGACGCUGAGGCGCGAAAGCAAGGGGAUCAAACAGG